rnacentral:rRNA from 1 species
CCUACGGGGGGCAGCAGUGAGGAAUAUUGGUCAAUGGACGCAAGUCUGAACCAGCCAUGCCGCGUGCGGGAAGACGGCUCUAUGAGUUGUAAACUUCUUUUGUACGGGGGUAAACGCGGAUACGCGUAUCUGUCUGAAAGUAUCGUACGAAUAAGGAUCGGCUAACUCCGUGCCAGCAGCCGCGGUAAUACGGAGGAUUCGAGCGUUAUCCGGAUUUAUUGGGUUUAAAGGGUGCGUAGGCGGUCGGAUAAGUUAGAGGUGAAAUCCUGAGGCUCAACUUCGGAAUUGCCUCUGAUACUGGUCGGCUAGAGAGUAGGUGAGGUAGGCGGAAUGUAUGGUGUAGCGGUGAAAUGCUUAGAGAUCAUAAAGAACCCCGAUUGCGAAGGCAGCCUACUAAACUGCCACUGACAUUGAUGCUCGAAAGUGUGGGUAUCAAACAGGAUUAGAUACCCCUGUAGUC